UUAAGGUUAAAAGAGAUUCAUUCGAUGGGGCUAUAGCUCAGCUGGGAGAGCGCCUGCUUUGCACGCAGGAGGUCUGCGGUUCGAUCCCGCAUAGCUCCACCAUCUUUACUGCAAACACAAGAAAACUUCAGAGUGAACCUGAAAAGGUGCACUGCGAAGUUUUGAUCUUUAAAAAUCUGGAUCAAGCUGAAAAUUGAAACGACACACAGUUAAUGUGUGUUCGAGUCUCUCAAAUUUUCGCGACACGAUGAUGUUUUACGAAACAUCUUCGGGUUGUGAGGUUAAGCGACUAAGCGUACACGGUGGAUGCCCUGGCAGUCAGAGGCGAUGAAGGACGUGCUAAUCUGCGAAAAGCGUCGGUAAGGUGAUAUGAACCGUUACAGCCGGCGAUGUCCGAAUGGGGAAACCCAGUGCAAUUCGUUGCACUAUCGUUAACUGAAUACAUAGGUUAACGAGGCGAACCGGGGGAACUGAAACAUCUAAGUACCCCGAGGAAAAGAAAUCAACCGAGAUUCCCCCAGUAGCGGCGAGCGAACGGGGAGCAGCCCAGAGUNCAGGUGCUGCAUGGCUGUCGUCAGCUCGUGUUGUGAAAUGUUGGGUUAAGUCCCGCAACGAGCGCAACCCUUAUCCUUUGUUGCCAGCGGUCCGGCCGGGAACUCAAAGGAGACUGCCAGUGAUAAACUGGAGGAAGGUGGGGAUGACGUCAAGUCAUCAUGGCCCUUACGACCAGGGCUACACACGUGCUACAAUGGCAUAUACAAAGAGAAGCGACCUCGCGAGAGCAAGCGGACCUCAUAAAGUAUGUCGUAGUCCGGAUUGGAGUCUGCAACUCGACUCCAUGAAGUCGGAAUCGCUAGUAAUCGUAGAUCAGAAUGCUACGGUGAAUACGUUCCCGGGCCUUGUACACACCGCCCGUCACACCAUGGGAGUGGGUUGCAAAAGAAGUAGGUAGCUUAACCUUCGGGAGGGCGCUUACCACUUUGUGAUUCAUGACUGGGGUGAAGUCGUAACAAGGUAACCGUAGGGGAACCUGCGGUUG
rnacentral:rRNA from 1 species